rnacentral:rRNA from 1 species
GACGAACGCUGGCGGCGUGCUUAACACAUGCCAGUCGAACGGGUCUGCCCUGUUUUUUGCGGGGUGGGUCAGUGGCGAACGGGUGAGUAACACGUGAGUAACCUACCCCUCACUUCUGGAGAACCGCUGGAAAGGGUGUCAAAUACGGAGUGUUCUGGCUGUGCCGCAGGGUGUGGCUGGUAAAGAUUCACUUUUGGGGUGUUUUGGUGGGUGAUGGGCUCGCGGCCUAUCGGCUUGUUGGUGGGGUGAUGGCCUGCCAAGGCGUUGACGGGUGGCUGGCCUGAGAGGGUCGGCGGUCACACUGGGACUGCGAUGCCGCCCCGACUACUGCGGGCGGCAGUAGUGGGGGGUAUUGCACAAUGGGAGGAAGCCUGAUGCAGCGACGUCGCGUGAGGGAUGGAGGUCUUCGGGUUGUGAACCUCUUUCGCCGGUGAAGAAGGUCCUGCUCUUUGUGGUGGGUUUGACGGUAGCCGGGUUAUGAAGCGCCGGCUAACUACGUG